AGGAGCCGGAAUCGACGACAACGGGUUUGGUUUGGUUUUUUUCGAGUAUAUUGAAGUGUUUCCUGUUACCAGCUUUCCUGUCCCCUCCUGCCUCCUGGGCUGGUGUUGUUACCACAGUGGCGGGUCAGAGCCACCUGCCGCAGAAGCCAAUACUGAGACAGAGUUCAUUGUGUUACUGCAAUAGCGUGGAUUGGAGCCGCUGCUGCAAUAACCAAUUCUGAGACGGGUGAGGUGAGCCCCAAGAGUUUUAUUAUAUGUCGAUAUAUAGGAGACAGAGGGGAAUAGAUUCCUCCAAAAAACCCAUCUCCCC